UACAGAGACUGCAAGCGUUAUUCGGAUUCACUGGGCGUAAAGGGUGCGCAGGCGGUUGUGUGUGUCAGGUGUGAAAUCUCGGAGCUUAACUCCGAAACUGCGCCUGAAACUACAUGACUAGAGCAUUGGAGAGGGUAGCGGAAUUCACGGUGUAGCAGUGAAAUGCGUAGAUAUCGUGAGGAACACCAGAGGCGAAGGCGGCUACCUGGACAAUUGCCGACGCUCAGGCACGAAAGCGUGGGGAGCAAAA
rnacentral:rRNA from 1 species